GUGCGACGUCAUGCGCGUAGAGGGGCCGUGCGUCCCGACGUCGUGCGGGUAUAGGCGCGCGCGAGCGCGUCUUUGGCCGGGUGGGUCGCGGUUGGUGCUCUCCUGGUCUCAAUUUUCCAGGGGCUUUAAAGAAAGAAAAUCCUGUAUUUAGAGACUUGAGUCUGAAUUUCAACAAAGUUGAGUGUUUCUAGAGGAAAGUCAAACACCAGUUAAACCCCACCGUUGUGCCUCUUGGUGCCAUGCUUGAGCCCACUCACCAAACUCCUGAUCUUAUUAGGAAGCUGCUGAUCAUCAGCUUCAGGUGUUUUCUAUCUGUUUUGGAGACUGCCUUUCCCUGGCUCCUGCUGUGACCAGUUAUUAAGCAGUGCACCAAGAUGUAAUAGUUUUUGUUGUUUGAGAUAGUAAUUGGAGUUUUUUUUUUUUUUUUUACCUCUAAGAAGAUUAAGGAGCACAGACACAAAGUUUAAUAAGCAAAAGAAGGAAGCUGUCUCCCAGUAGAGGGGGGUCCCAAAUGGGGUGGACACUAUGAGUCUCGUUCUGGGUUCUUUAUGAACUGGAAAGGGGAAGAAUUGUGCUUAGUCUGCAGGCUGUCUUUGUGAACAUGUGACUUAGCUUGGCCCAGGACCAAUUAGAAAGCUUGGCCCAAGGCCAGGUGCAGUGGCUCAUGCCUGUAAUCCUAGCACUUUGGGAGGCUGAGGUGGG